GUUGAGUUCUCAGUGACUCACAGACCCUUCUUUCACCAACCUCACGGCGUCGCGUGAAGUUCUACAAGGCUCUUGUUCUAACGCAUGUUGGAUAUGAUUAACUGUGAGUUUAAGAAGUAAAAAACCAAUACUUUAGCAUUGCACAAAUGAUAGCUGGAUUCAACAGGAGAUGAAAGAUGGGAUUUUUCGAUUUGGAGGAGAAUGGUUAGGAUUUUGGGGGGUAAAGCUUGAUGCUUCACAGAAUUACAGUGACCUUGAAAAGCAAAAGCAAUGUUAGAAGGAAGGAAGACUAACGGUCAAUCUUUUUUUUUUCCCAAGCAAUUGGUUUUGUUCUCAAGUGUGAUGGUAAAGUUUGCAUCUUUUGGAUUGAAUUUGGAGGAGGUGAAUGUGGAGAAGGAAAGUACUUGAGCUGAUCCUAGCAGGAAAAACCCUUGAGGAGAAUCCGGAAUGGGAGGUCGAGAUAGGGUGACAUCAAAGAGAGAUACAGAGUCACCAAAAAUAAAAAAGUGAAAGAAGCAGAACCAAUGACCAUUCCUGAAACUAUAGUCUUCUCUUCUUCAGGAACAACUUCAGAUUCUGCUGGAGGUCUUUGAUAUCCACAGGCUGGCAAGGGAAUGCCACAAAGGCCGGAGUUGUUCUCAUAUCUUGAUGCUGGGAAGGUGGUGAGCUGACCUCCGGAAGGGAUUGUACCGGUGAGGUUGUUGUU
rnacentral:lncRNA from 1 species